rnacentral:rRNA from 1 species
GAUGAACGCUGACAGAAUGCUUAACACAUGCAAGUCUACUUGAAUUUGGGUUUUUUAACUUCGAUUUGGGUGGCGGACGGGUGAGUAACGCGUAAAGAACUUGCCUCACAGCUAGGGACAACAUUUGGAAACGAAUGCUAAUACCUGAUAUUAUGAUUAUAAGGCAUCUUAGACUUAUGAAAGCUAUAUGCGCUGUGAGAGAGCUUUGCGUCCCAUUAGCUAGUUGGAGAGGUAACGGCUCACCAAGGCGAUGAUGGGUAGCCGGCCUGAGAGGGUGAACGGCCACAAGGGGACUGAGACACGGCCCUUACUCCUACGGGAGGCAGCAGUGGGGAAUAUUGGACAAUGGACCAAGAGUCUGAUCCAGCAAUUCUGUGUGCACGAUGACGUUUUUCGGAAUGUAAAGUGCUUUCAGUUGGGAAGAAAAAAAUGACGGUACCAACAGAAGAAGUGACGGCUAAAUACGUG